rnacentral:rRNA from 1 species
AGCAGCCGCGGUAAUUCCAGCUCCAAUAGCGUAUAUUAAAGUUGUUGCAGUUAAAAAGCUCGUAGUUGAAUUUCGGGAUUGGCGCAUCGGUCGUGCCUCACGGGGUAUGAACUGGUGCAGUCAAUUUCUCACCUUCUGGAGAACCGCGAUGUCCCUAAUUGGAUGCCGCGGGGAACCAGGACCUUUACUUUGAAAAAUUAGAGUGUUUAAAGCAGGCAUUUUUGCUUGAAUACAUUAGCAUGGAAUAAUAAAAUAGGACGGCAUGGUUCUAUUUUGUUGGUUUCUAGGACCACCGUAAUGAUUAAUAGGGAUAGUUGGGGGCAUUAGUAUUCAAUUGUCAGAGGUGAAAUUCUUGGAUUUAUUGAAGACUAACUACUGCGAAAGCAUUUGCCAAGGAUGUUUUUCAUUAAUCAAGAACGAAAGUUAGGGGGAUCGAAGACGAUCAGAUACCGUCGUAGUCUUAACCAUAAACUAUGCCGACUAGGAAUCAGACGAUGUUAAUUUUUU